rnacentral:rRNA from 1 species
UACGUAGGGAGCAAGCGUUGUCCGGAAUCAUUGGGCGUAAAGCGCGCGUAGGUGGCCUCAUAAGUCCGCUGUGAAAGUCCAAGGCUCAACCUUGGAAAGCCGGUGGAUACUGUGAGGCUAGAGUACGGAAGAGGCGAGUGGAAUUCCUGGUGUAGCGGUGGAAUGCGCAGAUAUCAGGAGGAACACCAAUAGCGAAGGCAGCUCGCUGGGACGUUACUGACACUGAGACGCGAAAGCGUGGGGAGCGAACAGG